rnacentral:misc_RNA from 1 species
GAGUGAAUGCAGGAUGGCUGCAUUUUAUGCUGGUUUCCCUGAAAUCGUUCCGGUGAGAACUGUUAAUAGGCAGUGCUCAUCUGGAUUGCAGGCAGUUGCAGAUGUAGCUGCUGCUAUUAGGGCAGGGUUUUAUGAUAUUGGCAUCGGUGCUGGUUUGGAGUCUAUGACUGUCAAUCCAAUGGCAUGGGAAGGAUCAGUCAAUCCAAAAGUAAAGAUGUUUGAACAAGCUCAAAAUUGCCUGCUUCCCAUGGGAAUAACCUCCGAAAAUGUUGCUCAUCGUUUUGGUGUCACUAGAGAGCAACAAGAUCAGGCUGCAGUUGAGUCUCACAGAAAGGCUGCUGCUGCUACUGCUUCU